CCUACGGGAGUCAGCAGUAGGGAAUCUUCCACAAUGGGCGAAAGCCUGAUGGAGCAACGCCGCGUGGGUGAAGAAGGUCUUCGGAUCGUAAAACCCUGUUGUUAGAGAAGAAAGUGCGUGAGAGUAACUGUUCACGUUUCGACGGUAUCUAACCAGAAAGCCACGGCUAACUACGUGCCAGCAGCCGCGGUAAUACGUAGGUUGCAAGCGUUAUCCGGAUUUAUUGGGCGUAAAGGGAGCGCAGGCGGUCUUUUACGUCUGAUGUGAAAGCCGUCGGCUUAACCGGAGUAGUGCAUUGGAAACUGGGAGACGUGAGUGCAGAAGAGGAGAGUGGAACUCCAUGUGUAGCGGUGAAAUGCGUAGAUAUAUGGAAGAACACCAGUGGCGAAAGCGGCUCUCUGGUCUGUAACUGACGCUGAGGUUCGAAAGCGUGGGUAGCAAACAGGAUUAGAUACCCGGGUAGUC
rnacentral:rRNA from 1 species